UUACGACCAUACUACGUUGAAAAACCGGUUGCCGUACGAUUACCGAAGUUAAGCAACGUCGAGCCUGGUCAGUACCUCGAUGGGUGACCACUUGGGAAUACCAGGUGUUGUAAG